UUCCCCAGAGAAUGCCUGCACCUCUGCAAGUCAGAACUUUGCAUGGAGACUCCGAGGAAUGGCCUAGAUAGAGCGUAAAAGGGGCAGAAAGAGGCUGCUUUUGCCAUCAUCUGCCUGCCUGCCACGGACUGUUUCGCCUCAGCAACACCCCGUCACACCACCCAGCCUUGGAGCCAGCUGAUUAUGGACUGAAACCUCCACACACUGUGAGAUAAAAAAGGAGAUUCCAGCCGCUCAGUCAGCAAAACUCAGCCUUCUUCUAGCAGAGAAUCUGCCAGCCAAUGUCGGACAGAAAAUGAGGUCGUGACGGUCCACAAAUGUCCCUCACCCAGCCUGGAGCAGACUUCCUACAGGAGUAACUCAGUGUAAUGCCCGAAUAAAGACUUAAGUGAAAAAGGUUGUCGGUUUCUAAAACCAGCAAUGCUGUUUGAUGAAAUUAA